rnacentral:rRNA from 1 species
AUCGGUAACAGGUGUAGCAAUACAUGCUGACGAGAGGCGGACGGGUGAGGAACGCUUGGGAAUCUGCCUAUCAGCGGGGGACAACCCGGGGAAACUCGGGCUAAUACCGCAUACGCUCUACGGAGGAAAGCCGGGGACCGCAAGGCCUGGCACUGAUAGAUGAGCCCAAGUCGGAUUAUCUAGUUGGCGGGGUAACGGCCCACCAAGGCGACGAUCCGUAGCUGGUCUGAGAGGACGAUCAGCCACACCGGAACUGAGACACGGUCCGGACUCCUACGGGAGGCAGCAGUGGGGAAUAUUGGACAAUGGGCGAAAGCCUGAUCCAGCGACGCCGCGUGGGUGAAGAAGGCCUGCGGGUUGUAAAGCCCUUUCGGUAGGGACGAAAGCUCUUGCUCUAACACGGCAGGAGGUUGACUUAACCUACAUAAGAAGCACCGGCUAACUCUGUGCCAGCAGCCGCGGUAAUACAGAGGGUGCGAGCGUUAAUCGGAAUUACUGGGCGUAAAGCGCACGUAGUCGGCUUGGCAAGUCGGGUGUGAAAUCCCCGGGCUCAACCUGGGAACUGCAUCCGAGACUGCCUUGCUAGAGUAUGGGAGAGGGAAGCGGAAUUUCUGGUGUAGCAGUGAAAUGCGUAGAUAUCAGAAGGAACAUCAGUGGCGAAGGCGGCUUCCUGGACCAAUACUGACGAUCAGGUGCGAAAGCGUGGGGAGCAAACAGGAUUAGAUACCCUGGUAGUCCACGCCCUAAACGAUGACAACUGGAUGUCGGGAGGGUUUGCCUUCCGGUGUCGUAGAUAACGCGUUAAGUUGUCCGCCUGGGAAGUAC